UACAGAGGAUGCAAGCGUUAUCCGGAAUGAUUGGGCGUAAAGCGUCUGUAGGUGGCUUUUUAAGUCCGCCGUCAAAUCCCAGGGCUCAACUCUGGACAGGCGGUGGAAACUACCAAGCUUGAGUACGGUAGGGGCAGAGGGAAUUUCCGGGUGGAGCGGUGAAAUGCGUAGAGAUCCGGAAGAACACCGGUGGCGAAGGCGGGUCUCUGGGCAGUAACUGACGCUGAGGAGCGAAAGCGUGGGGAGCGAACCGG
rnacentral:rRNA from 1 species